rnacentral:rRNA from 1 species
CCUACGGGAGGCAGCAGUGGGGAAUAUUGCGCAAUGGGCGAAAGCCUGACGCAGCGACGCCGCGUGAGGGAUGAAGGUCUUCGGAUCGUAAACCCCUGUCAGCAGGGAAGAACGGUCACUGUGCUAAUCAGCAGUGAAUUGACGGUACCUGCAAAGGAAGCACCGGCUAACUCCGUGCCAUCAGCCGCGGUAAUACGGAGGGUGCGAGCGUUAAUCGGAAUUACUGGGCGUAAAGCGCUCGUAGGCGGGAUGUCAAGUCAAGGGUGAAAUCCCCGCGGUCAAAGUGGGAACCGCCUUUGAAACGGGCAAACUGGAGUGUGUGAGAGGAAUGUGGAAUUCGAGGUGUAGGGGUGAAAU